rnacentral:rRNA from 1 species
AUGUGGAACCAUAGAAGGAAUUCAAUCACUACUAAUUGGUAUAUUUAUUUAUGCAUCAAUGACGAUAGAUGCAUUCUCCAUAGUUCCAGCAUUACGGCAAACCCGUGUCAAAUAUAUAGCGGAUUUGGGCGCUCUAGCCAAAACGAAUCCUAUUUCGGCUAUGACCUUCUCCAUUACAAUGUUCUCAUACGCAGGAAUACCCCCGUUAGCCGGCUUUUGUAG